CGGACAGAUGGGAGCUUGCUCCCUGAUGUUAGCGGCGGACGGGUGAGUAACACGUGGGUAACCUGCCUGUAAGACUGGGAUAACUCCGGGAAACCGGGGCUAAUACCGGAUGGUUGUUUGAACCGCAUGGUUCAAACAUAAAAGGUGGCUUCGGCUACCACUUACAGAUGGACCCGCGGCGCAUUAGCUAGUUGGUGAGGUAACGGCUCACCAAGGCAACGAUGCGUAGCCGACCUGAGAGGGUGAUCGGCCACACUGGGACUGAGACACGGCCCAGACUCCUACUGGAGGCAGCAGUAGGGAAUCUUCUCGCAAUGGACGAAAGUCUGACGGAGCAACGCCGCGUGAGUGAUGAAGGUUUUCGGAUCGUAAAGCUCUGUUGUUAGGGAAGAACAAGUACCGUUCGAAUAGGGCGGUACCUUGACGGUACCUAACCAAAAAGCCACGGCUAACUACGUGCCAGCAGCCGCGGUAAUACGUAGGUGGCAAGCGUUGUCCGGAAUUAUUGGGCGUAAAGGGCUCGCAGGCGGUUUCUUAAGUCUGAUGUGAAAGCCCCCGGCUCAACCGGGGAGGGUCAUUGGAAACUGGGGAACUUGAGUGCAAAAAAGG
rnacentral:rRNA from 1 species